GGCGCCCGCGCCACAUGCGCGGCUUUGUCUGGAUCGACAAGCCCGUCAAGGAGCCUCGUGCCUCCGCUGCCACCCUCCCCACCAUCAAAAUCUCCUCAGACACUUCCAAGUUCCCCUACACCCACCGGAAAGGCUCCCGCUCCGCCAUCCGCAUCUCCCGCAUCGUCUCCGAGACCUUCCGCCUCAGCCUCCCCAACGUCCGCUGGUUCGUCAUGGGCGACGACGACACCGUCUUCAUCGCCGACAACCUCGUACGAGUCCUCAGCAAGUUCGACCACCGCCAGCCU
rnacentral:misc_RNA from 1 species